GCUUCGCCUCUCGCGCCCACUGCAUCGGCAUCCUCUUCCAUUUCCCGGCGACCUCCAGCCUGUUGUCCCCUGUGUCGUCUUCCUCCAUGCCGGUUACGGCCAGCCACUCAGCGACGGUCAGCGAGCGGGAGGGGAGGCAUGUUGCAGCGGUAGCUAGAUUCAAUUGGCGGCAGGGAGCGAGCAGGAGCAAACGACAGGCACACACUGCCCAACCUAUCUCAUCAUCACGCCUCCCUCUCUCUUUGUCUUUCCCUCAACAACACGCAAAAACCUAGCCCGAUCCCGGCUCUCCCUGGUGUCCACGCCCCCACCAUCUACCUCCAUCUAUCUCCGCCUUUGCACGCUUCAGGGUGGGGGCGACGAUGGUGGUGCCACGGGCGCCGAGUCCCACGACUAGCAUGCCGCCACCUCAAGCCCGACCCACCUCCCACCUUCGGCAUCGCUGCUCUCACGCUCGCCGCGCCCUCCCGGCUCUCUUCGACAGUGCGUCGUGGCUCCAUGCGCUGGCCUCCAGCUCCGCCCUCGACCAGGUGCCUUAGUGCAAGUUGUGUACAAGUCCUUGAAGAGCGUGUACAAGUCCCACGUCCGAGAGGGGCUCGCCAUCAGGCUUGGCAUGGGCACGGUCAUGCUGCUCCUCUUCUAUGGCUACUCGUUGGGGAUUUGGGUAAUGAAUGUGAUUUUCAUCACAAUGAGGGUGCCCGGAUGAACCCUAUGAACUAUUGGUACUGGUUGAAUGGCAGAUGUUUGAAUCCCAAAUGGUCUGAGGUUGUUACUUCUAGAAAGGGAACUCCUUGAAAGGUGAUAGAUGCACUAUAAGACCAGGUUCCUGUGGAGGGUGAUCCUGUCAAAGACUAGAACCAAAAUUUUGAAAUGACUCCUACUGAUGAAUGGGCACAAAAUAGCAGGGAGGCUGAUGAUAUUUUGGGGUAGUCUUCUUCUGGUUUUGAUGUUCUAACAAUGAUAGAGAUGGUGCUGCUUAUAUACAUGGCAAGGAAAUUUUGAUGGAUGGUAAGAUUUUCGUCUUGGUGUUUUAUCAUUUUUCUCUAUGUGUUGCGAUCGCUUCUUCACCUCGAUCCGUCUGCUUCGUACCAGCUGUUUUUUGUUGUUGUAGAAUUGCAGAGAUUGUUUAUUUAAUCAUUUUUUGUUAUUGUUGCUAUGAAUUUGGGAUUUGUCAAGAUUUUGGCAUAUUAACUUGAGGGUAUGUCACUUUUUGUUUCAUUGCUAAAAUUAGCCACUAAAGAGUGCUUAUGCUACUCCUCGGUGUUAAAAUUA